UGUGUGUGUGUGUGUGUGUGUGUGUGUGUGUGUGUGUGUGUGUGUGUGUGUGUGUGUGUGUGUGUGUGUAUAUUAUAUAUUAUAAUUUCUCCCAGGGUCAUCUCAUAGUAAAGGUUCAUCCCGACAAGAACACGACAAACUGCUACAUCGCCACACUUAGUGAAGCUGAGCACGCGCAGAUCCACACCGACGCCGGCAUGAGGGCCGUCGAGUUGAGACUGCUCGCCGGUCUGUCUACCGCAACCAUGGUAACGGACAAGACGACGCUGGACCAAAAUGACGUUCACGCCUGCGGUGUUCACAGCGCCACACCAGCCAGUUAUUAAACCAUCAUGGUCUGAAUGGCCCUGAGAUACGUUUAAUUGUUUUGAGUUAUUAAAUACAAUAAACAAAAGAAUAACA